GGAGAGGUGUCAGAGCGGUCUAACGUACCUCUUUGCUAAAGAGGCAGGGGCUUUAUACCCCCUCGAGGGUUCGAAUCCCUCCCUCUCCG
rnacentral:tRNA from 1 species